rnacentral:misc_RNA from 1 species
AAUAAGAAAUUCAUGCAUUUUGGGAUCUAUAAGGUGCUUCCCUUUGAACUAGACAGGAUAGAGUUCUCUUUUUUUUUAAUACUAAUCCUUUGCUUCUUCUCAAUAAUCUUACCAUCCCUUUUGUGGCUAUUUCAUUUGGAGCGCAAUGGGGCAUAUGCUUGAGAUGCAACUUCCAUACUUGUGUAGUGCUGUAAUAUUUUUCUUAUCCAUAUUUGUGUAGUGCUGUAAUAUUUUUCUUAGGCAAAUAUGUUAGGAAGUUUCUUGUUACUUGCAAACCUAGUUUGUGUUUAAAAAAAAAAAAUAAAUAAUAGAGAAGAACGAGGUUGGC